CCUACGGGGGGCUGCAGUGAGGAAUAUUGGACAAUGGAUGGAAAUCUGAUCCAGCCAUGCCGCGUGCAGGAAGACUGCCCUAUGGGUUGUAAACUGCUUUUGUAUGGGAGCAAUAAGCCCUUCGUGAAGGGUGAUGAGAGUACCAUACGAAUAAGCAUCGGCUAACUCCGUGCCAGCAGCCGCGGUAAUACGGAGGAUGCAAGCGUUAUCCGGAUUUAUUGGGUUUAAAGGGUGCGUAGGCGGUUGGAUAAGUCAGCGGUGAAAGUUUUCUGCUU
rnacentral:rRNA from 1 species